AUGCAUGUGCCAACAGUGUGUACACAUAUUCUUCAAGAUCUAUUUCUUCAGAUUGUCUACCUUAAUUCUUUUGUACGUGAAUCAAGGGCUGUACUGUUGCAUCAGCUCUCCAAGAAGCACUCUCACCACCCUUUCCGUAGACUGCCGGGACUCCCUGUUGCAGCAGUAUUCCAUCCAACUCAAAAGAUGUUCUUUGUUGCCACUAAGAAAUUUGUUCAGAUUUAUGAUCUUCAAAAGGCAGAGGUAGUCAAGAAGCUGGAGUCAGGUCUCCAUGAAAUUUCCUCUAUGCUACUUUACCAGUUGGUUCAUAUCGGCUUUGUUAUUCUAAGCUGUAAACCAGUUGUUAGAUUACUGGUAGUGCAAUACUGUUUGUUGGAUUUCCUUACUAAUGGCUCUGCAAUUCUUUCAUGUAGGUGA
rnacentral:rRNA from 1 species